ACUGCUUCUUGGCCUUUCAGCUAGGAUCAUGCAAAAACAUUAUCUAUGCUAAUUCAUCGGUUCUUACCAGAUCCAAUACAAAUCCAAUACAGCCUGGAUUUGAGGACUAUAUAUUAACUGGAUUUUUGGAACUCGGAGAUGGAAUAGGGGCUUCCUCCAUCUGCUCCACGCAUCAAUCCAGUACAGUGGUACCUUGGGU